rnacentral:lncRNA from 1 species
AAAAAUUGUUGGUCACAGAUGCAAGACGAUUUUGCUUGUGAAGUUGCGUUAAUUCACCAAGCUGUGAGAGCACGCGCGAUCAAAAUAGUACAAAUGCUUUCGGUAAAUCGAGAUCAAAAUUUCGAAUCUACAAUAGCACGAAAUGAGAGAUAAAACGUAAAAAAAGUAUAAAUUCAACGUCCAAAUAUGCCAGUAGGUAAUCGCUUGUCUUAUUUUCUUUCAAUUGUAAUAACAGCGAUGCUACUAAGUCGGUCUUGCCCUAUUGGAUCUUAAAAAUGUCUUAAUGCGCGGAAGGGCGCUGAAAGACCUUACAUCAGAGCACGACGUUGCAGGAACUGUGGCCAGGAUGGAGGUAACUCUAACCCUAAAUGGAGACCAUUUUGAUGCAUGGUUUUUACCAACACGGCUGUUUUUUCCUCUGGCAUUGGUCCCCGCAGUUGUAGUUUUCAAAGAUUGACUUCUCAAGCGAUAGCAUUUCACUACCCACGCCGUAUAAAUGUGAUACAAUUUGCGUGUUGCUGCGGCUUGGAGAAAAGAUAUCUUCAACAUUGCGCAAAACAAUUUUAACGCUCGCAAAAAUUACGACUUGUCUUAGCUAUCUGCAACAUCCUUUACAAUAAAGGUAACAAAAGUAACUUGUUUUUACUAUCUACAACAUUGUGACACAUUUUUAACUUGCGUCAACUGUUUAAAUUACAUUGCAGGACACAACCUCGGCGUGUACUCUAUCUUCAAUAUUGCAUGCGAUACUUUUAGCUUGUCUUGAUUAUGUGCAACUUCUCAAGCGGCUUUUCCAUCUGUUGUCUUUUACCUGUACCAUUGCGCGAAGAGGCCUUCCACAAUUAUCAGCUAUUUCAUUUUUCCUUGUUAAAACGUAGUUUAAUCCCAAACGAAACUCGCCAAUUAUUUCUUAGUAUAGAGCAGUUAUUUCUUAGUAUAGAGGUUAAGGCAACAUUUUCAUACUUGUCUUUCAACAUUUUCAAAACUUGUCUUUCCCCCUUUCCCUCCCCGUUUCUCCAGUUAAGUUUUUGUGGGGCUAUGCAUAAGGCCCGCUAAGUCAAAGCAAAUAUGUAUGUAUACGGGAUGACACCUAACAGACCUCCCAGAGCAUAUUUUGCCCUAUAGGUAGACUGGGUACUAGCAUUUGCCGGGUUCGAGGGUGGCCAUUGCCAGCGUUCUGCAGCCUUCGUUGGGUGCACCGUUUCAUAUCGUGUUCUCUGCGCCCUUAUUUUAAGUUAAGUAAUUCUUGUACAGCUUACUUUCAUCUUUCUAGUAGUUGCCUACUCGUAAGACUAGAAUACGUCAACCCAAUGCAGUGCUGGAAAUAAUUUUUCCUCUUUAACGGGUCAUGUGUCCUUUCAAAUCUUCAUUUGGCUGGACACGCUAAAUGCCGGACUUGGUCGGUCCUUGGUCUUGUGCUCAAGAUCUCGAGCACAGCUUUUCCCAAUACGGAACGACCAAGGCUGGCAAAUAACAUAUAUGGUUAUAUAUAUGGUUAGCUACGAUUCAUCGCUAAAAUGAACGUGAUUUCGCGUUAGUUCCCGCGUGAAACAGUGUUCCCGCGAAUUUUUUCCGUGACGCGUCCGUUUCGACCCAAAGAAACUGGGAACGAAAGAGGAUCCAACAUGGCGGGUUGCGUGGCAGUGGAUAAUUCUGAGCAGAUUUUGAUAAUAUGAUUAUGUUUUGACGCUGAAGCUGCGACGAGGAGGCCCUUUAUGAUAUCAGUUGAGUUUUGAAAGGCAUUUGCCUUCGUCUGGUUGGAUUUGGGUGCAAAGAAAAAUCGCUGCAGCGGCAACAAAACACUGAAACAGAAACCACGUUCACAAACGCUGAUAGCUCCGACAACAGCCUGGCAAUUCCUAGCUAAUGAAAAACUCCUACCCGAGGCUGAAAUCAACGCCAACUGCAAUGAUUGAAAAUGAUAGACCACGAGUUUGGUCUCUAAAAACAUCUAUGUGUCAUACUUGUUGCCCUGAGGUUGUCUGGUAAAAGGUCGGCCAGCUUGAUGAAUUUUCUGUUGGUGAUUUAAAUGAGCACCAACUUGUGUAGGAUGGGAAAGUACAGUAGCUCAGGCCAGUUACAAAAUCUUUUCUGAUCACACAUGUACAUGUAGCUAAAGCUGAAAUGGCUGGAAUCAAGGACACGACACUGCCCCCAGCACUCGAUGACUGCGGGCCUGCCAAUAGCAGCAUAAGGCGGCAAAGAAAGAGUACAGAAAGUAGAUAUGAAUGAAGGAACUGGGAUGUUACAUGUACAUGUACCUGACGCAAUGGCCUGACCAGUGUUUGUAAAGGUACAGUGUAGUGUCCAUGUUGAGAUGGGGCUUGUGUUUGAUGGGGUGUUCUGCAUGAGACCGUGUCGUGUUUGUGGAUUGUGGCAAGAAAUUCAGGUCCUGAUAGACAAACAAGAUCAAAAUAUAAACUCACCUAAAAUUAAUGGAAGAUGUGUCCAAAUGAGGCUCAGAUUUACCCAGCCAAGAAUGUGAAUGAGAUACAAGAGAGUUAAAAGUCAUGGAACUGACCAAGACAUUAAAAAUCCAAACCAAAUAGAAGGUUAGAAGGUCUAAGAGCAGACUCAAGUCAGAUGGAAUGUGAAUGAGAAAUAGAAAAGCUAAGAGUCAUGGUGAAUGAUAUGAAUUAAUGUUCUUCUUUGAAUGUUUGAAUAAUUAAUUAGUGACUUGCAGGAAUUGUUCUGAUAACUGGAUGCUUCAUGGCAACAUUGUGUGCUAGCUACUUGUAGAUGGCAAGCUAUCCACCAUCACUUAAUCAAAAAAGGAAAUGCUGUUCAUGAAGAGAUAUAGCCCCUGAUGUUUGACCUGGUGUUUGAGUGUGAAAAUACAAAUGUGCAAAUGUGCAAAGUACAGAUGACUUUGUAUGUAAACACGUAUGAGAGUUUGCGAAGGUAACUUGAAAAUCUUAGGUGACACAGUCUAACUUUCGAUUUGAUCUCAAAAUCUUGGAAUCCUCAUUUCAGUGUGAAUCUUCUCGUCUCAGAGCCAGCUUUUAGCCAGAUUAGUC